CAGGAUGAACGCUAGCGACAGGCCUAACACAUGCAAGUCGAGGGGCAGCACAAGGAGCAAUCUGAGGUGGCGACCGGCGCACGGGUGAGUAACACGUAUGCAACCUGCCUGUAAGCGGGGAAUAACCCGUUGAAAGACGGACUAAUACCGCAUAAUACUAAAUUACUGCAUGGUAAUUUAUUUAAACAUUUAUGGCUUACAGAUGGGCAUGCGCAUGAUUAGCUAGUUGGAGAGGUAACGGCUCCCCAAGGCAACGAUCAUUAGGGGUUCUGAGAGGAAGGUCCCCCACACUGGUACUGAGACACGGACCAGACUCCUACGGGAGGCAGCAGUGACGGAAUAUUGGUCAAUGGACGAGAGUCUGAACCAGCCAAGUCGCGUGCAGGAAGAAUGUCCUAUGGAUUGUAAACUGCUUUUGCAGGGGAAUAAAGUGCAUCACGUGUGAUGUUUUGUAUGUACUCUGCGAAUAAGGAUCGGCUAACUCCGUGCCAGCCGCGGC
rnacentral:rRNA from 1 species